GAUCUUCUCUUGAUGGAGCUAUUUGUGAUCACGCAUCAAUUUUUACUUCAUUAGCACUGUGAUGGACAACAAAUCUGAGAAAAUUCAAGCAUUGAUGACCAGUGGCCAGGGCGAGGUCGAAGGCACUCGGCAAAGGAUGGCGCUCGGGAG